GACUAAUAAUAAUAAUAAUAUAAGAUAAAUGCCAGGGGCAUAGCUAUAAGGGGUGGGGCAAGCCAGGGGACGACGACAAACGUCCCUGGGCCCAUGAAGGGGGCGUGGAGGCCGCUGGCUGUCUCUGAGUCUGCUCUAACUUCUCCCUGACUUCUUGGCAGUCCGCGGAUCCUGACAGUUUCCUUGAACAUUUUUAAGAAGACUGUUUACUCUCACAAUGAAACUUUGUAUACAUAUUUGCUGCAGUCUGGGGUCAAACUGGAUAUUGCUUUAAGAGCAUGUUGCAAUCCUGUGAUUUGGACUCUCUCGCCACUUUAUUUUCUUAUACAAAAACCAGGCACAGCAGGCCCUGAUGUGGCCUGGGAACAGUGCCGUGGCACCAGGAGGGGGUUAACUGGCCGUGGAUGUGCUACCCCAACGUAAUUUUCUUGCUGAAGAUUGCCUCUCGCAGCUGCUAUUUGCCUUGAUUGGCAAAACCUAUGUAAGAUAUCUAGCACCCACAACAACACACCCACUGCCAGUUUUUUCCGUCUUUUUUCUAAACUAAAAAGCCCCAGGUCUUGCCUCAUAAGGAGGGUGCUCCAGGCCUCUGAUCAUCUUGGUUGCCCUCUUCUGCACCUUCUCCAGUUCUACGAUGUCCUCCUUUUAGAUGUGGUGACCAGAAUUGUACGCAGUACUCCAGGUGUGGCCACACCAUAGUUUUGUAUAAGAGCAUUAUAACGGCCUCACAGAGGGCAUUUGCGCAUGCGUGGCGGCGGCCAGAAUGGCCGCCGCUUGCCUUUAUAGAGGCCUGAAAGGGCCAAAAAGACUACAUUUACCUGGCCGCAGCGGUGAUGAGGGAGGCCGACGAGGGGAGGGGGAACCCUCGCAGACCCCCACCCCGCAGCCUACAGCAAGCCCCCCGAAGGGGCUACAGGUAUUUAACAUUAAUUUUAUUUUUUUUAAAAAAAAAGAAAGUCCACGGACAAAAUUUGUGGACUGUCCGGCGGUUCGGUUCCGGUCCAGAUGGAGCCGGGGCGCGGGGGGGGGGCUUCAGUUUGAUCCCGAACCCUCGAAGCUCCAGACUGGACCGUGGACCGCUGGACUGGUUCUGCACAUCCCUACUUGACUAACAAGAAGAUCUGCUGAGUCAGGUACCCAUGAUUGAAAGCACAUGGCUUCAGCCUAUUUAAGAUCUGGACCGUUUGGACUCUGUUUGUGGAAUUCAACUUGGACUUGGUUUGACCGACUGGAUAUUGUAAUGACUCAGAUGGGUUUGGGUUUGGAAAUUGCUUACUGCUUGGCUCUGACAUUCUCUUGUUGAUCUUUUGCCUAUUUCAUGCUCCGUCUGUUGAUAUAGCUCUAGAUUAACCUGACAGGUUUAUGACACUUGCACAGAGCACAAACCCAUGACUUCUGCCCAUGCAGCAAAUAGUCAUACAUGCAACACUCUGAGAAGUGUCCCCUCUCCUGCUGGCUUUCUAUCUUCACAACUGGUUUUGUUGGCUCACAGUAUUUGGAGAUAGUUUAUUAGCAAGUUAGGUCUUAGCUGUAUUGGUGCUGUUGAAAUCUUCAAACUUCCUUUAUCAAGAAUAUGAAGGAGGGAGUAGUACUUACGAGGGAUGUGCAUGGAACCGCGGCGGGGUGGUUCGAAGGCAGCGGGGGCAGUGUGUGCAUGACGUGCACCCAUGCCCUUUCGUGCACCCCGAACCAAAAAACAGCUGCGAAGAUUUCUGGGGAUGAUUGGGUAUUAAAGCCAAUGUAUACUCCAGUUUGCCACCCGUACUGCCCCACUGACGGAAGGCUUACAAAAGGGGACUCCGAAUACGAUACCCUGGACAGAAGAGUGUAAUUGAGCUUUUUUGGAUCUGAAAGCAACUUUACUUAAUAAGCCGGUGUUGAAAAGUCCGGAUUUUGGCAAGGAAUUCCUGUUACAGACAGACAUGCCCAGAACAGGGAUAGGGGCUAUACUGAUGCAGGAGAUCCUGGGCCAAGAACACCCUGUUGUAUUUAUUAGUCGUAAGCUACAACCAGCGGAAAUGCAAUAUUCAACGGUGGAGCAAGAGGCUCUGGCGGUGAAGUGGGCUGUCACUACCUUGUGAUAUUAUUUGGAAAAUAAGCCCUUUAUUCUCAUUACAGACUAUGCCCCCUUGUAAUGGAUGCAUCAUAUGAAACACCAUAACGGCAGGGUUUUAAGGUGGUAUCUUUCCCUUCUGCCUUUUAGGUUCAGUGUUCACCAUUGCAAGGGAUCGCAGCACGUCAAUGCCGACUACCUCUCCCGACUGUAUGACGAUGGGGUUGCGGAGACCAACUUGGAGCCUGUGGGGAGGAUCCUGAAGACACACCUGUUCUCCCAGGCUUUUAACUGAAACUUAAAUUUUAAUGUGUUUUUAUCUAUUGUGAUUUUUAUCUGUUUAAUGAAUUUUAAAUGUUUUAUAUUAGUAUGUCUUAACUUGUACACUGCCUAGAGAUUUCUAUAUCAGGCGGUAUAGAAAUUCAAACAAACAAACAAACAAAUAAUGUCUUCAUCAGGCUCAAAGUAGUCAGAAUUAUUACAACUGGGAAUGGCACAUCUUUGCUUCUUCUUUUUUUAAAAAUCAUUUUUAUAUAAUGUUGGUAGUUUUUUUAAAAAAAACUUUUAAGGUUUUUGGAUUAUGAUUGUUGUAGGAUGUGUUGUGAUGAACAAUGAGUUACUUUUGGAUAGUUCAUGAUAUUGUAUUUCAUUUGCAGUCCAUCCUUCCUGUAAGGAGUUCAGAACAGCAUACUACUACUAUUAUGAAUAUUUAUAUACCACUCUUCAACCAAAGUUCUCAAAGUGGUUAACAUAGAAUAAUAAAUAAUACAUAAAUAAGAUGUUCCGCUGUCCCCAAAGGGCUCACAGUCUACAAAGAAACAUAAGACAGAUACCAGCAACAGCCACUGGAGGGAUGCUGUGCUGGGGUUGGAUAUGGCCAGUUGCUCUCCCCCUACUAAAUAUAAGAGAAUCGCCACUUUAAAAGGUGUCUCUUAGCUCAGUUAGCAGGGUCAUACAUGGAGUUUUCUAAUUUUAUCCUCACAACAACCCGGUGAGAAUAGUAGGGUUGGUAGAAGAAAGAUAGUGGCUACCUCAAGGAUGAGAUUUAUAACUAAGUGGUGAUCUGAGCCUGGGUUUCAGAUUUCAUUACAGGUAGAAUUACAAGCAACACAUUUGACAUUUAAUUAUGCUUACUCUUCAUUUCAGAUGAAUUGUUAUUAAGGAUGAUGAUUACACAUAAAACUUUUUGGGUGCUCUACAAAGAUUUUAAAAUGAUGCAGGCCCUGCUCACAAUUGUAGUCUAAUAGGCACAAUACAAAAUGAAAAAGACAUGGGGAGGAAAGAAGACAAUAAGCAAAUGUAGAUACAAAAAUGUUCAUGUUACUGUGUUGAAAAUAGGUGGAUAGAUUGUUGUCCGCAAAGAAGAUUCUUAUGUGUAUAUAUGUACACACACACACACACACACACACACACACACACACACACACACGGAUUGUUAUAGUUUGUACUCUUCAAGAAUAAAUCUUGUUGGGAAAUCGUU